UGCCACUGACCUGGUCAGCACUGGGCCACGGC
rnacentral:piRNA from 1 species